rnacentral:rRNA from 2 species
GCCUGAUCCAGCCAUGCCGCGUGUGUGAAGAAGGUCUUCGGAUUGUAAAGCACUUUAAGUUGGGAGGAAGGGUUUCUGGCUAAUAUCCAGGAAUUUUGACGUUACCGACAGAAUAAGCACCGGCUAACUUCGUGCCAGCAGCCGCGGUAAUACGAAGGGUGCAAGCGUUAAUCGGAAUUACUGGGCGUAAAGCGCGCGUAGGUGGUUCGUUAAGUUGGAUGUGAAAGCCCCGGGCUCAACCUGGGAACUGCAUCCAAAACUGGCGAGCUAGAGUAUGGCAGAGGGUGGUGGAAUUUCCUGUGUAGCGGUGAAAUGCGUAGAUAUAGGAAGGAACACCAGUGGCGAAGGCGACCACCUGGGCUAAUACUGACACUGAGGUGCGAAAGCGUGGGGAGCAAUCAGGAUUAGAUACCCUGGUAGUCCACGCCGUAAACGAUGUCGACUAGCCGUUGGGCUCCUUGAGAGCUUAGUGGCGCAGCUAACGCAUUAAGUCGACCGC